GUCCCCCUGCUGCUCUCAGCUGGUUACAGGGUGGUGCUGAUAAUGCCAAGGUUGCAGGUUUGAUCCCGCAUGGGACA